CAGUCGCCGCGGGAAUACGUAGGGUGCAAGCGUUAAUCGGAAUUACUGGGCGUAAAGCGUGCGCAGGCGGUUUGUUAAGACAGAUGUGAAAUCCCCGGGCUCAACCUGGGAACUGCAUUUGUGACUGGCAGGCUAGAGUAUGGCAGAGGGGGGUGGAAUUCCGCGUGUAGCAGUGAAAUGCGUAGAUAUGCGGAGGAACACCGAUGGCGAAGGCAGCCCCCUGGGCCAAUACUGACGCUCAUGCACGAAAGCGUGGGGAGCAAACAGGAUUAGAUACCCCUGUAGUCCCUGUCUCUUAUAC
rnacentral:rRNA from 1 species